UCUUUUUAUUUGUUGUUUCUGUAGUAAGAAGAGUAAGUUCCCCAGGUGUGCGUGGGAAGAUCUCUGCAAUUUCAAAAGUCCUGGGUACGGUGAGUUAUUUAUUUUUGGUCUCUUAAGUUUAUAAAAGUGAAUCCUCUAGGUGUGCGUUAAAACAGCCUUGCAAUUUGAAAGUCCUAGAGUGGAUGAAUUCUCCAGGUGUGCGUGGGAAGAUUUCUGCAAUUUCAAAAUUCCUGGGGACAGUGAGUUAUUUAUUUUUGGUCUCUUAUGUUUAUAAAAGUGAAUCCUCUAGGUGUGCGUUAAAACAGCCCUGCAAUUUGAAAGUCCUAGGGUGGAUGAAUUCUCCAGGUGUGCGUUAAAACAUCCCUGCAAUUUAAAAUUCCUGGAGACGGUGAGGCAUAUGUUUGUAGCCUCCUAUUGUUAGACAAGGGAACCGUCUAGGUGUGCUUUGGAACAUCACUGCAGAUUGAAAGUCCUAGAAUCGGACGCUUGUGACACAUACGAUCGACCAUGCCCUGACGGGAAAGGAUAACCCCCCACCCGCAUACCAGGCAGCGGGGCUGGAGGAGCCUGUGAUGGGGGCACCCGAUGGGAAGAUUACGGGAUCGGUAUCAGAGGGAAUGGAGGAGAUAUGCCUGCGAGGGAAGCACGGGACAACUUAUGAUUUUACUUUAUAACUGUAUCUCUCAUUUCUAAUCCUUCCCAUAUUAGGGCCUCAGAAUGUGAGGGCUGAGGUGCAGAGACCCCCUAGUUGUGUAUUUUUUCUCUCUCUUUCCCGUUCAAAUUGACAACAGGUAAAUUUGUGCUUUUAUGCUGCAGUUAGAGAUUGUGAAGUGCUAUAUGCCUCGAGACUCAAGAGACUAUUGUUCACUCAAGAGAUUUCCUAGCCAUCAUCUGGUAUUCCUAAAUGGCUUCGAUUGGUCUCGACGGCCACUGUUCACAAUAAUAAGCCAGUUACCACUGCCCGUGUCCGUACUUGACAGCUGUAAAAUGGAUGUGGGUUUUUAUUGGUCAAGUGAAGGUGACUGGUUAGCCAAUGACGGGUAAGAUUCCUCGAGUGAGGGACAACCUAAGACAGGCACAGUCGUGCAUUGACCUUCAGAAUAAUGGCCUGUGGUCAUGUGGUUUUAGCAGAUGCCUGGCUUUUGUAUCCGUGUCGGGAAUCUGGUCAAGUUUCUGGCUUGCAAAGCAGCUUGAUAUAAGGAAAAUCGUGGACCCAGCAGUUUGACAUUGUAUUCACUGUAUUUUUGACGAAGGAAAAUGCCAGUUUUGUGUCAUUUUCCAGAACCGACUUAACAACAACCCUUGAGGAAGGAAGGAGAGCUCAUUGAAUCCUAUUGCAAAAAGAUUUGACACUAUGUCAGUAGUUUGAAAUUUUAUUUUAAGGUGUCAUGGUAUAAUACGACCGACUUUACUGGGAGGUUGUACAAUUGGGUGUUCUUUGGACAGCAGAGCUUCAUUCUGCAGGCGUCCUAACUCAUCCACUUUGUGUUUUCCUCUGGUUCUCUUCGCUUUUGUUAUCAUACUCAUUAAUCGUUUUGUUGGUUUUGAGGUGGCUUUUUGUAUAUGUUUACAACUUUUAAGUGCUUACAUCUGUUAUGUAUUAUUUCACUGCUUCUUGUGCCCUAACGGUUGUAUGCGAGCUGGAGAGGCGCAUAGAGUAGGGAUUUUGCGGCGUGGAAUGCUUUGUGUACUUGUAUGCUGCUUAGGGAUUCCUUUCCCUUAUAACUGUGUCUCCAUAGAGUCAGACAAGCCGGGUAACGCCAAGUGGUCGGUCUCGCAAAUGAGUGACGGAGGGGCACUCACCGACCCGCCAGGCCCUGACUGCUGCGCGCGUUUGCUGUAUUUGUGGCCUCUCUGAGGCCAAGAGGGGGAAUGUUAGGUAGGAUUAACACUCGGGCAAAUGUAAGAUGGAUGUAACACUAAAAUGUUAGCUAGAAGUAGCUCUCAGGCUGAAGUGCCCAGGAGGCCCCAGAGGGGGUAACAGACACGAGGUCUGAGAGAGAUAACUGAACCAGUGGAAAAGUACUGAAGAAGCAGUAAAACUUGAGAAAAAAGAACAAAGGGGGCCAUCUGGCAUAUAACAAGUUGAGCUAGCUGAUAGCCAAAUACGGCAUGGUCAAACACUGAUAAGAGACUGGGGCCAAUGACAAACUGUAAAAACUGUUCAUUACCAAAUAAGGGAACGGUGCAGGGAUAAGGGGGGUAUAAGAAUAAACAACUUAGAACAAAGGGGCAGAACGCCUUCUCCAGCUGGACAAAUGUCUAGCUGUAACCGAUUCUCUCUCGAAUAAAGCAGUCUGUUUCUUAGAA